rnacentral:rRNA from 1 species
GACGAACGCUGGCGGCGUGCUUAACACAUGCAAGUCGAACGGAAAGGCCCUGCUUUUGUGGGGUGCUCGAGUGGCGAACGGGUGAGUAACACGUGAGUAACCUGCCCUUGACUUUGGGAUAACUUCAGGAAACUGGGGCUAAUACCGGAAAGGAGCUCCUGCUGCAUGGUGGGGGUUGGAAAGUUUCGGCGGUUGGGGAUUGACUCGCGGCUUAUCAGAUUGUGGGUGGGGUAGUGGCUUACCAAGGCUUUGACGGGUAGCCGGCCUGAGAGGGUGACCGGCCCCAUGGGGACUGAGAUACGGCCCAGACUCCUACGGGAGGCAGCAGUGGGGAAUAUUGCACGAUGGGCCGAAGCCUGAUGCAGCAACGCCGCGUUCGGGAUGACGGCCUUCGGGUUGACAACCGCUUUCGCAUGUGACGGAGCCUGAGUGACGGUACUGGGUAAAGAAGCACCGGCUAACUCCGUG